UUUCCGUAGGUGAACCUGCGGAAGGAUCAUCAACAAACAAUUCAAAAAUUCAAAACAAAAAAAACACCAAUUUCAUUCCAAAAUUAUAUUGGAAUGUUUUUUUAAUGGGGAUGUGGAGAUUUCUAAUUAGAUUUUUUUAAUUAGAUUUUUCUCAUGCCCCAUCAUUUAAAACUAAACUCCUAAAAUUAAAUUAAAAAAUUAUUCUAAAAAAAUUUUAAAAUAUAAAAAUAGAGACAACUUUUAACAAUGGAUCUCUUGGCUCUC
rnacentral:misc_RNA from 1 species